rnacentral:rRNA from 1 species
UACGAAGGGUGCAAGCGUUACUCGGAAUUACUGGGCGUAAAGCGUGCGUAGGUGGUUCGUUAAGUCUGAUGUGAAAGCCCCGGGCUCAACCUGGGAACUGCAUUGGAUACUGGCGAUCUGGAGUGUGGCAGAGGGGGGUGGAAUUCCGCGUGUAGCAGUGAAAUGCGUAGAUAUGCGGAGGAACACCGAUGGCGAAGGCAAUCCCCUGGGCCUGCACUGACGCUCAUGCACGAAAGCGUGGGGAGCAAACAGG